rnacentral:rRNA from 1 species
GACGAACGCUGGCGGCGUGCUUAACACAUGCAAGUCGAACGGAAAGGCCCUGCUUUUGUGGGGUGCUCGAGUGGCGAACGGGUGAGUAUCACGCGAGUGAACUGCCCUUGACUUUGGGAUAACUUAAGGAAACUGGGGCUAAUACCGGAUAGGAGCUCCUGCUGCAUGGUGGGGGUUGGAAAGUUUCGGCGGUUGGGGAUGGACGCGCGGCUUAUCAGCGUGUUGGUGAGGUAGUGGCGUACCAAGGCUUUGACGGGUAGCCGGACUGAGAGGGUGACCGGCCACAUUGGGACUGAGGUACGGCCCAGACGGCUACGGGAGGCAGCAGUGGGGAAUAGUGCACGAUGGGCGGAAGCCUGAUGCAGCAACGCCGCGUGCGGGAUGACGGCCUGCGGGGUGGAACCCGCUUGCGCCUGGGACGAAGCGUGAGUGACGGUAAUGGGUAAAGAAGCACCGGCUAACUACGUG